AGAGUUUGAUCCUGGCUCAGAGUGAACGCUGGCGGCGUGCCUAAUACAUGCAAGUCGAACGAUGAAGCUUCUAGCUUGCUAGAGUGCUGAUUAGUGGCGCACGGGUGAGUAACGCAUAGGUUAUGUGCCUCUUAGUUUGGGAUAGCCAUUGGAAACGAUGAUUAAUACCAGAUACUCCCUACGGGGGAAAGAUUUAUCGCUAAGAGAUCAGCCUAUGUCCUAUCAGCUUGUUGGUAAGGUAAUGGCUUACCAAGGCUAUGACGGGUAUCCGGCCUGAGAGGGUGAACGGACACACUGGAACUGAGACACGGUCCAGACUCCUACGGGAGGCAGCAGUAGGGAAUAUUGCUCAAUGGGGGAAACCCUGAAGCAGCAACGCCGCGUGGAGGAUGAAGGUUUUAGGAUUGUAAACUCCUUUUGUUAGAGAAGAUAAUGACGGUAUCUAACGAAUAAGCACCGGCUAACUCCGUGCCAGCAGCCGCGGUAAUACGGAGGGUGCAAGCGUUACUCGGAAUCACUGGGCGUAAAGAGCGCGUAGGCGGGAUAGUCAGUCAGGUGUGAAAUCCUAUGGCUUAACCAUAGAACUGCAUUUGAAACUACUAUUCUAGAGUGUGGGAGAGGUAGGUGGAAUUCUUGGUGUAGGGGUAAAAUCCGUAGAGAUCAAGAGGAAUACUCAUUGCGAAGGCGACCUGCUAGAACAUUACUGACGCUGAUUGCGCGAAAGCGUGGGGAGCAAACAGGAUUAGAUACCCUGGUAGUCCACGCCCUAAACGAUGGAUGCUAGUUGUUGGAGGGCUUAGUCUCUCCAGUAAUGCAGCUAACGCAUUAAGCAUCCCGCCUGGGGAGUACGGUCGCAAGAUUAAAACUCAAAGGAAUAGACGGGGACCCGCACAAGCGGUGGAGCAUGUGGUUUAAUUCGAAGAUACACGAAGAACCUUACCUAGGCUUGACAUUGAGAGAAUCCGCUAGAAAUAGUGGAGUGUCUAGCUUGCUAGACCUUGAAAACAGGUGCUGCACGGCUGUCGUCAGCUCGUGUCGUGAGAUGUUGGGUUAAGUCCCGCAACGAGCGCAACCCCCUUUCUUAGUUGCUAACAGGUUAUGCUGAGAACUCUAAGGAUACUGCCUCCGUAAGGAGGAGGAAGGUGGGGACGACGUCAAGUCAUCAUGGCCCUUACGCCUAGGGCUACACACGUGCUACAAUGGGGUGCACAAAGAGAAGCAAUACUGCGAAGUGGAGCCAAUCUUCAAAACACCUCUCAGUUCGGAUUGUAGGCUGCAACUCGCCUGCAUGAAGCUGGAAUCGCUAGUAAUCGCAAAUCAGCCAUGUUGCGGUGAAUACGUUCCCGGGUCUUGUACUCACCGCCCGUCACACCAUGGGAGUUGUGUUUGCCUUAAGUCAGGAUGCUAAAUUGGCUACUGCCCACGGCACACACAGCGACUGGGGUGAAGUCGUAACAAGGUAACCGUAGGUGAACCUGCGGUUG
rnacentral:rRNA from 1 species